CGCUAGGGGAGCUUAUGGCUGAGAUUGGGACUGUUUGACAGUUAUCCUGACCCUCAUUACUUGAACCGGUUAAUGCCGGCGUAAGGAAGCAUCAAA
rnacentral:ncRNA from 1 species